AACCCCUAAUUUUUCCCUUAAAAUCAGUUUCCUCAAAUCACCCCCAAUUUCACCCCUCUGUUGCCCUUUUCAAUAAAGAAACUCUUUAACAACACCGUCUCCAUUGUCUGGGUGUCUCUUGCUUCCUCAGCGCUAGAGGUAGAGGUGUGGCUGCUCUCCGGCCGAUUAGCAAAGGAGAGUUGCUUCUUAAAGUUCCAAAAUCUGCCUUAAUCACAACUGGCUCUCUUCUUUCAAGAAAUGAAACUUUGUCUCUUGCACUCAAAGCCCAUCUUUCUCACUCUUCUACCCAGGUAUUCACUGUUUGUUUGUUAUAUGAAAUCAAUAAAGGAAAGGCUUCUCCAUGGCACCCUUAUUUUCUGCACUUGCCUCAUAGUUAUUCCAUACUUGCCGCUUUCGGUGAACUUGAAACGCAAGCCUUGAAAGUGGAUUAUGCCAUCUGGGCUGCUCAGAAAGCUGUCACAAAAGCUAAAUACGAGUGGGAACAAGCCUUCACUCUCAUGAAGGAACUUAAGCUUAAGCCUCCACUUCUCACUUUCAGGGCUUGGAUUUUGGCUACUGGGACUAUAAGUUCACAGUGUUUAUGCUUUCCUGGGUUUUUCUUUUUCGGUUUUUAUUUAUGUUGGACAACUUCAACUUAGACUGUUAUGCACAUUUCACACGCAUGCGUAUGGAUAAAUGUAUGGAUAAACAAGCAUACAUGGGUUCUUAAUUUAUCUUUUUGUGUCUCUACUUAACAUUUUCCUACAUAUUAUUGCUUUGAUAAAGGUUCAGAUUAUUGCUCGGGACAAAACACUGUAGACUUCCGAAAAUAUAUGUUAUUUAUGCAAACAUUUCUUAGUAAGAUGAGAUUAAAGUUUUGGCGUGUCAAACAAAUAAUACUGUUUGAAAAGUUCAGAAUUGGAAUAGACUACUGCUUUAAAGUAUCUGUAUGGAUGGUUACAUCAUCACCCAAAGUAUGGUACUCUUGCGCCACCGGAGCUUGCUAAUUCUUUGUAUUAUGCAUAUGCACUAGAUUUGAAGCCAAACUAUGUGCGUGCUUGGGCAAACAUGGGUAUCAGUUACGCCAACCAGGUUUGAGUUUUUGUUGGAUGCAUGGUUCAGGAUUAGCUGAAUUCAUGCAUAGUGACGACUUGUUUGAGCUAAUUGCUGAUCUUAAAGUGUGCAUUCUAUCAUUAUUUUGUUCUAUUUGUAUUUUGUUAGAUUUCUGGUGUUGUAUGAUAAGUGUGGUAUUUUGUUUGAUUGUUAUUGAUAAACUUUCUAUUUGGUGGGAUAUAUAUUUAUAUCAUAGAUAUUAUUAUUCUUCUCAA